GCACAGUUCUGGGAGUGUCUGUGGAUCGCUGAAAUGUAGGCGGGAAGACCAACCUGGAAGUGGAUGACACCGACAAUGGGCUUGUAGCCUGGAUGGAAUAAAAAGGGAAGGAAAAAGGAAGUCUUCCUGCUCUUCUGUGGAGGAGCCCCCCUCUUCACCCUCGCCUUGGACCCCCGUCUCCCGUUCCAGCUUGGGUUUCCAGCACAGACUCUUCUAGCACGGAGCUUUUGGUUUUCUAACACAGGCCGUGCAGGGACUCUGCAGCCCUCAACCUUCGCCUGCAUCGCCUGGCUCCCUAGCAUGCAGAGGGUCAUCUGCAUCUUCCACCCUGCUUCACGGGCGGCCACUGUGGGCCUACCUUGUACAUCCUUUAUACAAUCGUGUGUAUGCAUGAGUGCACAUGUAUGCAUACAUGAAACCAGCUCCUCAAGGGAACCCUGGCUGGUACAAGCACCAACCGCACACCAGACAUGGUACCAGGCACCAGGAACUGGUGCUGAACAAGACAGUCUGCACAGAGGACUGAACCCUCCUCCACCCCUCGUGGUCGUCGUGCUGUCCCCACCCUCUGCCAAGAGCAAGCUGGGAAAAGACAGGAACUGUGGGAAGAGAUGGUGAUGGUGACGAUGAUGAAGGUGACGGUGACGAGGCCGACCUAGCGCUGUUUCUCCCCGCCUGACCCAGCACAGCUCCCUCCGCAGCUGUCCUGGCUGCAGCCCCUGAGCUCUGUGCCCGCUGAGAGGCAGCCGACACCCCCGACCUCCGCAGAAUAACCACGGGGCCUACUGUUUGCUAAGUGCCGACCGUGUGCCUGGCUCGGAUUCAGCAUCUUCUUGCUCUCUCCUUGCAGCCCGACAGCCUCCCACUUCCACAGGAGACAAGCGUUCACGUCACGUCUGUGCUGCAGGUAAGAUAAGAAUCCACCGAGAGCUGUAAUCUCGGCACUCUGGGAGACUGAGGCAGGAGGGCUGCAAGUUUGAGUCUGGCCUGUCUCAAGACUAGGAAGGAGGAAGAGUAGGGGAAGCAAAAGAGGCAAAAAGAGGAGGAGG
rnacentral:lncRNA from 1 species